rnacentral:rRNA from 1 species
GAUGAACGCUGGCGGCGUGCCUAAUACAUGCAAGUCGAGCGAACAGACGAGGAGCUUGCUCCUCUGACGUUAGCGGCGGACGGGUGAGUAACACGUGGAUAACCUACCUAUAAGACUGGGAUAACUUCGGGAAACCGGAGCUAAUACCGGAUAAUAUAUUGAACCGCAUGGUUCAAUAGUGAAAGACGGUUUUGCUGUCACUUAUAGAUGGAUCCGCGCCGCAUUAGCUAGUUAGUAAGGUAACGGCUUACCAAGGCAACGAUGCGUAGCCGACCUGAGAGGGUGAUCGGCCACACUGGAACUGAGACACGGUCCAGACUCCUACGGGAGGCAGCAGUAGGGAAUCUUCCGCAAUGGGCGAAAGCCUGACGGAGCAACGCCGCGUGAGUGAUGAAGGUCUUCGGAUCGUAAAACUCUGUUAUUAGGGAAGAACAAAUGUGUAAGUAACUAUGCACGUCUUGACGGUACCUAAUCAGAAAGCCACGGCUAACUACGU